rnacentral:rRNA from 1 species
UGGGGAAUUUUGGACAAUGGGCGCAAGCCUGAUCCAGCCAUGCCGCGUGCGGGAAGAAGGCCUUCGGGUUGUAAACCGCUUUUGUCAGGGAAGAAAUCUUCUGAGUUAAUACCUCGGGAGGAUGACGGUACCUGAAGAAUAAGCACCGGCUAACUACGUGCCAGCAGCCGCGGUAAUACGUAGGGUGCAAGCGUUAAUCGGAAUUACUGGGCGUAAACGUGCGCAGGCGGUUUUGUAAGACAGAGGUGAAAUCCCCGGGCUCAACCUGGGAACUGCCUUUGUGACUGCAAGGCUUGAGUGCGGCAGAGGGGGAUGGAAUUCCGCGUGUAGCAGUGAAAUGCGUAGAUAUGCGGAGGAACACCGAUGGCGAAGGCAAAUCCCCCUGGGCCUGNACUGACGCUCAUGCACGAAAAGCGUGGGGAGCAAACAGGAUUAG